UACGUAGGUGGCAAGCGUUGUCCGGAUUUAUUGGGUUUAAAGGGUGCGUAGGCGGCCCUGUAAGUCAGUGCUGAAAUAUCCCAGCUUAACUGGGAGGGUGGCAUUGAUACUGCGGGGCUAGAGUCCAGAUGAGGUAGGCGGAAUUGACGGUGUAGCGGUGAAAUGCUUAGAUAUCGUCAAGAACACCUAUAGCGAAGGCAGCUUACUAGGCUGUAACUGACGCUGAGGCACGAAAGUGUGGGGAUCAAACAGG
rnacentral:rRNA from 1 species